UAGAUCUGCAUUUAUCAUGUGGAUGGUGGUUUAAAGGAACACCUCAGACAUCGUAAUCACUACAGCUCACUGUAUCUAUUCCAAUCAUUUAAACUAUUUUUACAAUUUACUUGGUCUUGUUGAGUGCUAGCUGCCACCUCCACUGCUGCCAGAAACUUAGCUGCUUGCAGGAGCUUCCACACCCAGAGAGACAACAGCAGCAAUGGCACGUGGCAGGACCCAGGUAAGCUGUCAAAUAGUUCUUCACUACAUACUCUAAGAGGGUGUUCAGGGACAUAACAGCUACAGCGGACUGUAAAGGUAUGGUGCCUGGUGUGUUUCCUUUGGAGAAGUAAAAUGGAGCUUUUAUUUUACCCAUCCAUGUGCAUUUGGAAGUGGGUUGGAGGAGUAAUAAAUAUGAGCUUCAUACAGACCACAUGUUUGGCUCCUUCUUAAGUCCCCUGAUUCACUGAAAUUGGAUCAACAGCAAAAACAUUUGUGAGGAAGGCUAAACUUGAUGGACGCAGGUCUCUUUUCAGCUAUGUAACUAUGUGAAGCAUCACUGGGUGUAGAAGCAUAGCAAAGGUGGCACAACUGGUCAAGUAAUUUCUCUUAUUCUAUCACUUUCAGUUGUUUGUUUGUUUUUUGGGACCCUCAUGGCACCAUAACUAUAUCAAAAUUAAGUUGUUAUGGGGCACAUAGGUCGAUGGUACUGGCUUACCUUUACAGGUUAUAACGUUCUUGAAUGUUCCAACCCCAAAGUCUCUUCCCCAGUGUUACUUUGCUCAGCUUUCGAAAAAUCU